GAUGGACGCUGGCGGCGUGCUUAACACAUGCAAGUCGAACGAAGCACCUUGAUUUCUUCGGAUUGAUUGGUGACUGAGUGGCGGACGGGUGAGUAACGCGUGAGCAAUCUACCUCUAGGUACGGGAUAACAACCGGAAACAGUUGCUAAUACCGCAUGAAACGGCAGUACUGCAUGGUACAACCGUCAAAGAUUUAUCGCCGAGAGAUGAGCUUGCGUCCGAUUAGAUAGUUGGUGGGGUAACGGCCUACCAAGUCGACGAUCGGUAGCCGGACUGAGAGGUUGAACGGCCACAUUGGAACUGAGAUACGGUCCAGACUCCUACGGGAGGCAGCAGUGGGGAAUAUUGGGCAAUGGGCGAAAGCCUGAUCCAGCGACGCCGCGUGAGGGAAGAAGAUCUUCGGAUUGUAAACCUUAGUCAACAGGGAAGAAGAAAGUGACGGUACCUGUGGAGGAAGCCACGGCUAACUACGUGCCAGCCGCCGCAGUAACAC
rnacentral:rRNA from 1 species